rnacentral:tRNA from 1 species
CAUAGCUCAGUUGGGAGAGCAUCUGCCUUACAAGCAGGGGGUCAUAGGUUCGAGCCCUAUUGUUUCC